AUUGAACGCUGGCGGCAGGCUUAACACAUGCAAGUCGAACGAGUGGCGGACGGGUGAGUAAUGCUUGGGAAUCCAGCUUAUGGAGGGGGAUAACUACGGGUAACUGUAGCUAAUACCGCGUACCAUAGGAUGACCCCAAGUGGGAUUAGGUAGUUGGUGGGGUAAAGGCUCACCAAGACGACGAUCUCUAGCUGGUCUGAGAGGUUGACCAGCGGCACUGGGACUGAGACGUGGCCCAGAGGCCUACGGGAGGCAGCAGGGGGGAAUAGUGCGCAGUGGGGGCAACCUGACGCAGCAAUGCCGCGUGAAUGAAGAAGGCCUUCGGGUUGUAAAGUUCUUUCGGUAGCGAGGCGUUAACGACAGAAGAAGCACCGGCUAACUCCGUGCCAGCAGCCGCGGUAAUAC
rnacentral:rRNA from 1 species